rnacentral:rRNA from 1 species
GACGAACGCUGGCGGCGUGCUUAACACAUGCAAGUCGAACGGAAAGGCCCCUUCGGGGGUACUCGAGUGGCGCACGGGUGAGUAACACGUGAGUAACCUGCCCUUGACUUCGGGAUAACUUCAGGAAACUGGGGCUAAUACCGGAUAGGAAUCCUUGCUGCAUGGUGGGGGUUGGAAAGCUUCUGCGGUUUUGGAUGGACUCGCGGCGUAUCAGCUUGUUGGUGGGGUAGUGGCUUACCAAGGCUUUGACGGGUAGCCGGCCUGAGAGGGCGACCGGCCACAGUGGGACUGAGAGACGGCCCAGACUCCUACGGGAGGAAGCAGUGGGGAAUAUUGCACCAUGGGCGGAAGCCUGAUGCAGCAACGCCGCGUGCGGGAUGACGGCCUUCGGGUUGUAAAACGCUUUCAGCAGGGGCGAAGCUUGUGGUGACGGUACCUGCAGAAGAAGCACCGGCUAACUACGUG